CGUCCUCGCACUCCUAUGCAAUUUGGCUGAUUGUUUAGGCCGUGCCUUUCUCUCUUCUCACUAUGAGAAUCUCACUACAAAUUUUAAAUUUGUUUUAAGUCUCCGCGUGGUUUGUGUUUAGUAAUUCGGGAUCGCUUCAGGAUGGCUCCAGGAUGGGACAGCUUAGAAGCAAGACAAGAAAGCAUCCUUUCCCUACUUGCAUUUCUCUUUCAACCUUUCAGCCAGCUGCCCAUCCUUGCGGUGGCGUGUGCUGAAACCAGAGGCCUAGUACCCAAGACCCAGAACACCGUUCCGGCGGAAACAGGAACCCGUUUUCGGAAGGCACCGUGUACAGCCGCUGGAGCGGUAAACCAUGAAUUACACCAGUCAAAAGAGCAUCCGAUGUGGGGCUGCUAGAAAACAAAGACUGACGACACUGAUCAGAGAGAAGAAGUCGAUCGACGAUUCGAACUAGUUUAUCGUGGCCGGAUCCAGCUCCAUGCAGGGAUGGCGUAUGAAACAGGAAAAUGCUCACAAUUGCAUGUUGGACUUCGACGGAAAUGUGUCGAUUGUUGUCGUAUACGAUGGGCACCUUUACCAUCUGUUCGGCCAAAGCAGCUCCUGACGCGAAGGAAGUAAAUACGAACCGAAAGAGGAUGCGAAUAAAUCAGCGAUACAGAUGGCAAAUGAUGGGUAGAUGCUUUCUGUUUAGACCUACAGAAAAAUCUCCGCGCAUCGAACAGUCCCCGGUCAGAGAUUAAUCCGAAGUUCUGGCGCAGAUCGGCUUCACGUAACCGAUCUACAACAGAACCCGGUCGUAUUAAAUUUGGAUGUUAUACUAUUCUGAUCAGCAUUCUGAAUGCUUGGUGCAUGGUUUUAUAUGGAAGAACUGCUGCUC